rnacentral:rRNA from 1 species
CCAUAGGAGGGAUCCUCACAAGAGGAUCCCUUUAAAGGCGAAAGUCGCUUAGGGAUCGGAAUAUGUUCUAUUAGCUAGUUGGUGGGAUAAAAGCCCACCAAGGCGAUGAUAGAUAGCUGGUCUUAGAGGAUGAACAGCCACAAUGGGAUUGAGAUACGGCCCAUAUUCCUACGGGAAGCAGCAGUAGGGAAUCUUCCACAAUGGGCGAAAGCCUGAUGGAGCAACGCCAUGUGAACGACGAAGGCCUUUUUGGUCGUAAAGUUCUUUUAGGGGGGAAAAUUAUGAUGGUACCUCCUGAAUAAGUGACAGCAAACUAUGUGCCAGCAGCUGCGGUAAUACAUAGGUCGCAAGCGUUAUUCGGAUUUAUUGGGCGUAAAGCAAGCGCAGGCGGAUGGAUAAGUUCUUUGUUAAAAGCAGCUGCUCAACAGUUGUUUGCACCGAAUACUAUCCAUCUAGAAUGUGGUAGAAAGUUUUGGAAUUGAAUAUGGAGCGGUGGAAUGUGUAGAUAUAUUCAAGAACACCAGAGGCGAAGGCGAAAACUUAGGCCAUUAUUGACGCUUAGGCUUGAAAGUGUGGGUAGCAAAUGGGAUUAGAUACCCCAGUAGUCCACACCGUAAACGAUGGGUAUUAGAUGUCGGGGUUUAAGCUUCGGCGUUGUAGCUUACGUGUUAAAUACCCCG